rnacentral:misc_RNA from 1 species
GUAGGUGAACCUGCGGAAGGAUCAUUACCUGAAACGGUCUCGUAGGAUGCAAAAUAUUAUUAAUUUUUUUUUGCUUCCGAAAAGACUUGAAAGUUUAAAACUCUUAGCCCCAAGAAACUCGUAAUUCUUGGACGGCAGUGAGAAUUAAUUGUUUUAAUUGGUAUUUGCUUUUGCCCUUAACAACGGCGAGAAAGAGUUAAAAUGAACUAAUUAAUUCUCAUUGGUCUCUAACCACUUAAUAUAUUUUAUU